CUUGGUCUAUGUCCGCACGAGUUCAGACUCGUAGCAUAUAGCUCAGUAACACGUGGCCAAACUACCCUACAGACCGCAAUAACCUCGGGAAACUGAGGCCAAUAGCGGAUAUAACUCUCAGGCUGGAGUGCCGAGAGUUGAAACGUUCCGGCGCUGUAGGAUGUGGCUGCGGCCGAUUAGGUAGAUGGUGGGGUAACGGCCCACCAUGCCGAUAAUCGGUACAGGUUGUGAGAGCAAGAGCCUGGAGACGGUAUCUGAGACAAGAUACCGGGCCCUACGGGGCGCAGCAGGCGCGAAACCUUUACACUGCACGACAGUGCGAUAGGGGGACUCCGAGUGUGAGGGCAUAUAGCCCUCGCUUUUCUGUACCGUAAGGUGGUACAGGAACAAGGACUGGGCAAGACCGGUGCCAGCCGCCGCGGUAAUACCGGCAGUCCAAGUGAUGGCCGAUAUUAUUGGGCCUAAAGCGUCCGUAGCUAUUCCGGUUGAUCCUGC
rnacentral:rRNA from 1 species